rnacentral:rRNA from 1 species
CAUGUAGGCGGGCUUUUAAGUCCGACGUGAAAAUGCGGGGCUUAACCCCGUAUGGCGUUGGAUACUGGAAGUCUUGAGUGCAGGAGAGGAAAGGGGAAUUCCCAGUGUAGCGGUGAAAUGCGUAGAUAUUGGGAGGAACACCAGUGGCGAAGGCGCCUUUCUGGACUGUGUCUGACGCUGAGAUGCGAAAGCCAGGGUAGCAAACG